rnacentral:rRNA from 1 species
CGGUAAAAGCUCAAAUUUGAAAUCUGGUACUUUCAGUGCCCGAGUUGUAAUUUGUAGAAUUUGUCUUUGAUUAGGUCCUUGUCUAUGUUCCUUGGAACAGGACGUCAUAGAGGGUGAGAAUCCCGUUUGGCGAGGAUACCUUUUCUCUGUAAGACUUUUUCGAAGAGUCGAGUUGUUUGGGAAUGCAGCUCAAAGUGGGUGGUAAAUUCCAUCUAAAGCUAAAUAUUGGCGAGAGACCGAUAGCGAACAAGUACAGUGAUGGAAAGAUGAAAAGAACUUUGAAAAGAGAGUGAAAAAGUACGUGAAAUUGUUGAAAGGGAAGGGCAUUUGAUCAGACAUGGUGUUUUUUGCAUGCACUCGCCUCUCGUGGGCUUGGGCCUCUCAAAAAUUUCACUGGGCCAACAUCAAUUCUGGCAGCAGGAUAAAUCAUUAAGAAUGUAGCUACUUCGGUAGUGUUAUAGCUUUUUGGAAUACUGUUAGCCGGGAUUGAGGACUGCGCUUCGGCAAGGAUGUUGGCAUAAUGGUUAAAUGCCGCCCGUCUUGA